rnacentral:rRNA from 1 species
UACAGAGGCCUCGAGCGUUGUUCGGAAUUACUGGGCGUAAAGGGCUCGUAGGCGGCCAACUAAGUCAGACGUGAAAUCCCUCGGCUUAACCGGGGAACUGCGUCUGAUACUGGAUGGCUUGAGGUUGGGAGAGGGAUGCGGAAUUCCAGGUGUAGCGGUGAAAUGCGUAGAUAUCUGGAGGAACACCGGUGGCGAAGGCGGCAUCCUGGACCAAUUCUGACGCUGAGUGAGCGAAAGCCAGGGGAGCAAACGGG